UCUCUCUCUCUCUCUCUCUCUCUCUCGUCCGAGCCCAACGUAACCUAGCAUUCGCCUUCAAGUUUCGCCGCCGUCUAUCUCUCUCGCCGCCGCCGCCAUCGGACUUUAGAUCGGUAGUCUCUCCUCUCUCCCUCUCUCCCUCUCUCUCUUUCUCUCGAUCAAUCGAUCGACCGACCCAACAAAGAAUGUAGAUCUGCUAUUUUUUCUUAAACAUGGGUUUUUUUUUUCUUGUUUUUUAGAUCUGCUAUUACGUUAGAUCUGCAUGUAUCCUUUCUUUUUUUAUGGGUUUUAUAGGGUCAAAUUUGUGCUAGCCAUUUCUGUUCAAGUUCGAUCUGCAGUAGUUUUUUUAGGGUUUUUUUUCCUUCGAGUACUUUGUUGAUUUGGGUCUGUUUUGUUUUUUAGCCAUUUCUAUUAUUUACGUUAGCCUUAUGUUUUUGUUUAUCUGUUUGGUUGCUGGGAAAACGAGGGGAAAGAAAAUUUGGAUAAGGGUUUCUCUCGAGCUAUUCAUGUCCUAGUUGGAUACUCUUUUCUUUUCAUGAACAGAAGAAUAGACUCGGACCAUAUGGUGUGAACUUCGAUUUAAAUGUUAAAUGUUAAAACUCAUUUGGAAAUGGCUGACUUUUAUCUUUUUAAAAAACAUAUUAUUCAUCAUCUUUUAACUAUAUUUUGUCAUUAUUAUCUAAUCUGAUUCAUAUUUUGUCAUUAAAUAUAAUUUCUUUUUUUAUAGGUUAUAGUUAUAAUUUUUAGUGAUUAAACACUAAAAAAAUUAUUAUUUCAGUAUUUCAAGAUACCAUCAACCAAAAUACUAAGCUUGUAUGCUGUAUGUAGGAACUUAGCUUGUUUUACCACUGAAGUCCAAGAGUUUCAGUUUACUGCAAUGAUUGAGUGUGUUUGCAUGAUUCUGUUGUUGUGACAAAGUUUACUUGCCAUUUGCUUUUGAUGAUCUGGUCUAUUCAAUUAAUAGAUGAACUCCUCCUAAUUCCUAUGCAGUUUAGAUAAUUCUCUAUUCUGAUUGGAUGUCAUAUUAUUUGACCGUUUAUGCAUCUAAUUUUUUGGGCUUAAGGGGAUUUCAUGAUCUAGUUUUUUGUAUUUGGUAUUGUAUGAUUCUGGAGGGGUAGCUUGCAUGGAGAAUCUGCAAGGUGUGGAGGGGAGACGAUUUGAUCUGAGAAGGGAGAGGAGGACUGAGAAGAUCUGGAUAUAAUGUAUAUGCUGUUAUUUGAGCAAAACCCAGAUGAUAGAAAUUGAUAUAUGUAAUGGUGGAGCCCAAGAGGUGGAGAACAAUGAGAUGCACAUUCUUUUAUCUUAAUCUGUGAUAUGGGUUGAUUUACUGAUUUUGUAAUUCAUAUGUUGUAAUUUAGUAUUUUGUAAUGUAAUGUAUAAAUAACAAAUAAUAUAAUAUGUAGUGGAUUGUAAUCUGAUGCAUGCAGACUUGCGUAGAUGAAUAUUUGAAAUA